rnacentral:ncRNA from 1 species
AUAUAAAUAUUAUUUUAUUUUGGUUAAUAUUUUUAUUAUUAUUUUAUUUUACAUGUAAAUUUUUGUAUGAAUUAGUUUAAUUUUUAAAAAAUUAAAUUUAAAAAUUUAUUCGCAGUAAUUGAUAUUAAUUAAAAAAGAAAUUUUGUAUUAGUAAUAAUAUAUAGUAUUGGUAAAAUUUGUGCCAGCUACCGCGGUUAUACAAAUAAUACAAAUAAAAAUUUUUAGUAUUAGUUAAAUUAUAAAAUUUAUAAUAUAAAUUUAAAUUUAUUAGGUGAAAUUUUUAAAUUUAUUUAUUUAUUAUUUAAUAAAAAUAAUUUAAGCUAUAAACUUUUUAUAAUAAACUAGGAUUAGAUACCCUAUUAUUAAAAAUAAAUAUUUAAAUGCUAAAGUAGUAUUAGUUAUAUUCUUAAAAUUUAAAAAAUUUGGCGGUGUUUUAGUCUAUUUAGAGGAAUCUGUUCUGUAAUUGAUAAUUCACAUUGAACCUUACUUAAAUUUGUUUAAUUUGUAUAUCGCCGUCAUCAGAAUAUGUUAUAAGAUAAAAAUUUUCUAAAAAUUUUAUUUGAUAAAAUGUCAGGUCAAGGUGCAGUUUAUGUUUAAGUAGAAAUGGAUUACAAUAAUUUUAUUUAAAUGGAUAAUUUUUUGAAAUAGAGAUUUGAAGGUGGAUUUAAUAGUAAUAUAAAAAAGAUUAUUUAUAUGAUUUUAGCUCUAAAACAUGUACAUAUCGCCCAUCGUUCUUAUUUUUAAAAUAAGAUAAGUUGUAACAUAGUAGAUGUACUGGAAAGUGUAUCUAGAAAGA